GUUUUCAUGGCGUAGUUGGUUAUCGCAUCCGUCUAACAUGACGCAGGAGAACUGAACAAUCAUGUCACGGAAGGUCCUCAGUUCGAGCCUGGGUGAAAACA